rnacentral:lncRNA from 1 species
CAUAACCUGGUAAAUAAAUGCAGAUGUUUCCACUGUGGGUAACAAAAGUGUUUCUCUUCAGGUAUAUGACAUCCCUCCCUCAUCUGUGAAAGGCCCUGCGUUUUCAGCUCCAGUAGGAGAGAUAAAAGCUCAAGGAGUGUAUGACAUCCCUCCCACUAAAGGGGUCUAUGCCAUCCCUCCUUCUGCUUGCCGAGACGAAGCAGGGCUUAGGGAAAAGGAAUAUGAUUUCCCCCCUCCCAUGAAACAAGCUGGAAGGGCCGACAUCAGACCCGAGGGGGUUUAUGACAUCCCACCCAGCAGCGCCAAGCUGGGGGGCAAGGACCUGCACAUGAAGUACAGCUGUGACGGGCUGGGGGCUGCUGAGCCAGUGGCACGAAGGCA